UGAAACCUAUCUGCAGGCAAAUAUAAGGUUUCAGCUGCUGGAAAGAGGGGUAACAGUGGUUGAACUUGGGGCCUAGGUUUCAUUUUGUAGCUAUUUGGGUUUGUGACUAUGCAGAGAUAUUUUGGGGCAGGGCAAUAAGGAACUGGAAUUUGAUCAGGUUUAAUAGCAUGUGAGUACUUCCUAAGAGGAAGGAAUCCAAUCUAGCUUUCUUCUAAUACCUUUUCCUAAAGGAUGAGGAUGGACUCCGCCCAAUAGCUCAAUGCAAGUACCAGUAACACCGGCAUAUUUGGCAAGAAGUAACUGGGCAUUUGUUUCAAGAAGACCUAACUUAAUUUCAGCCUUUCUCUGGAGAUUGGCCACUACACCUGUAAGUUUUGAGAGCCUUUUGCCAGAGAUGGAGAGUGUUCUCAGAAAGCUACUGCCAAGCUGCCCAAAGGAGGAAACUAAGGCUCGCUAUUUCCAUUUGAUCACAACAGGGGUGCCAAGCACAAGGAUCGAGACUGAAAGCCAUCGAGGAGAGUGCGGUGGCCCCACAGAUGUCAUUGCUCCUUGGAUCCAGCCCUCGGUGUGACACAUGGAUGGCUGUCCCAAAGCAUCGCAUCCUCCUGGCUGCACUGACAACAAAGGUGUCACCCGUGGGACAGCGUCAGGUAUUCCCAGCACUUUUUAAAGCUGCGGAAGGACCUGUCCCUGGUAUUCAGAUGUGAUUACAGCAAGCUGAAGAAAAAGAAAAGGAGGUGGCAGGAAGGAAUAUAAAACUCAAGAGGCAUUAGGCUGUUUGCUGUGUUUGAGAAUACAUUUGCUUGAGUGCCUGUGAACAAGAAAGCAGGCACAGCUGAAUAGUAGGCUUAAGGAAAGUCAGUUUAGCUUCAGAAGAGGGUGUACAUACACUGAUCAGAUCUUAACCCUAAAAGACAUAAUCAAACAAUAGUGUGAGCAUGGAAGACUUCUGAAUGUGCUAAGUGGACCAUUAGAAAACACAACACCUAUAGUGGGGAUAUUGGUGACACAGAGGUACUAGGAAGAUUACAAGGAGAGAUUACUGGUAAUGACAGAUGGAAAAGUUACUGAACCCACACACUGGAGAGAUGCAAAUCACAACCAUAGUGCUUUUGUGAUAAGGAUUUCAACUCGGUAGGUAAUGGUUUGGGACCAUUAGUUCACAUACCGUGGCUUUACCCAACAGCCCUCAGAUGCUAAUGGCUUGCAGUCCUGGUGACAACAGGGUUGUAUCACCCCAGCGGUCCUGGGGCAGCCGAAUCACCAGGGUCUUUGUGAGCACCUGGGGACUCCCCACACACCUCUGAUGCACUUCUUGCUCAGUGUCUGACAUGUACCUCUGUCCGGAAGGCUACGAAAAUUUUAAAGGGAACAUCAUUUGUGAGUGAACCCCACAGUGAAAUUCAUUCUCUAUGCACAGUGACCAAUUUCACGUGUUGCUACAAGAAGGAAAAAAAGUCAUAUGACUGUAUCGAAGGAUUAACAACAUUAGUACAUUCAACAUCAAGCUGAAAGCAAGGCCAAUAGUUUGUGGAUCUCUCGAGACUGACAAUCUGUCAGGGAAAUCUCCUCAUCUAUAAGAAACGAUUGACACUUCACAAAGUUUGUCUCAUCCUGCUUAGUUAAAUGCCUUUUUCUUAAUAUAAUGCGCAUCUAAAAGCUUUUUCUCUUGCAUUGCACAGAAAUCACUCUCAUCUUCCCUUGUUUCCCCAGAGCCUUCCACAAAUACUUUCUGCAUUGUCAAUCUCACCAGCAGCAUCGCCUCUGCUUACCGGUAUGAAUGAGUAUGCAACCUAUAUUUUCAAAAACUUGACUUAGGAGCCACUUGUUUCAGUGAGAGAGCGGUGUUUCUGCAGAGUGACUUGAAGUCAGGUGGAGUUGCAAAGCAGCCUACGUGGCAAGUCACAAGGUUGAGACUUGGAGCAGAAAUCUGGUCAUGAAUUUGGUUUGGGAUUUAUUGCUCGGCAACUUGGAGCACAGCUAGUCAACAGCUGGCUCUCUAGCCAAAACACACUGGCAAACAGAGAAAAAUUGUCAUGGUAACAGCGUUACAGUGCAUAUUGCAAUGGCACUCCGGUCUACUAAGGGAAUUCCUAAGUGGUACCACAGUAAAAAUUAUGACUAAUAAUAACCAGUAAUAGUAACUAUUGCUACUACUAAUAAUAGCAAUAAUUAUAUUUAUACUAUAACAACAGCGAGAUAUAUUUGGCAAGUAUUUGGUGAUUCCAAAUUGCUGUUUAAACAUGUCUGGCUGAUUUCUUAUAAGCUCUCUGCUGAGGUAUUGCAGCUCCUCCAGCAGUAUAGGGUUAGUCCAUGAGCAAAGGCUCAUGUUCUGUAUGUUCCCCUCUGCAGCUAAUGGACGUGUCUUUCUCUUACCCCUAAUCAUCACAGAAGCUUAAAUAAUAUAUAGUAAUACACAACUUUGUCAUAAAUGAGUAUGGUGUUGGUGAUGGAAGUGCUGAAGCCCUGAAGGAGCAGGGGUAGUACCACAGCAGGGCAUUCGGUACAAACAGUUGCAGCCCCAAAAGGGAAGAGUUCCUGAAGCCACUUUGCCAACGUCAUCAAAUCAUGAUCUGAUGUAUUUGGGAGCUAACUCCGCAGCCUGUGUUCGUGCUGAGUUGAAAGCACCAUGAAGCAGGAGAAUGGCUUGCAAACCACCCCUCAGGCUCAGUAAAGAACAAUGGCAAUUUACCGCUCUUAAAUAAUAAACUACAACAGUGUACAAGAUCUGUUCCCGUGAUUCUGAAUUAUGAUGGCACUUGCACCAAAGCUGCUACAGAAGGGAGUUUUGGGGUAGCUUUUUUUAUUUACACGCCAUAAUUUUCCUGCUGGGAAACAGAUAAACUACUGUGGGGGAGAAAAUUU